AUGGAAAUUUCUCCUGCCAAACAUCUUGGGAGAAGCUGCGAAAGUAUCCCUACCAGAAGUCUCUCCCUGUGGAGAAUGAAAUUAGGUCUUAUCUAUCUUGUCUACAAGUUUAAAGACUAUGGGACUUUCCUGGCCCAAUUCUGCCUUUAAGAAGACCCUUUCUUCUAUACAUCUUUCAAGAUGACAAGGAAAAAUCAUCUAACCUGAAGCAUCCAUACCUACUUUAUUUAAGGCAAGGUCUGAGGAUGUGAAAUCUGCACUAAUUUAAUGACUACGAGGUACUCAGGAAGUAUUGAGGACAGGAGCACAGAGGUGAGUAUAAACUCAACAACCUUAAUGUGUGAGUGAGUGAGUGAGCGUAAAUUCCACAACUAUUCCUAUCUGAGAUUCCUAUAGACCUCAAUAAUUAUUUCUCUCUCAAAAACUGAAACUCCAUUCAUCUUAAAGACUGCACAUCUAGCUUAAUGACAAAGUCAUAUUUUUCCUUGCACAUAUUAAAACAAAGUAGGCAAUAUUUCCUGACUGUACAGUAUCAAAACAGGUAAAGAAAUUGUUAAUUUUAUAUUUCAGUAAAGUUGUUUUUAAAAAUUUUCUAAUUUCACUAUUGAUAUGGUUUGGCUGUGUUCCCACCCAAAUCUCACCUUGAACUGUAAUAAUCUCCAUGUGUCAAGGGCAAGGCCAGGUGGAGAUCAUUGAAUCAUGGGGGACGGACUCCCCCUUACUGAUCUCAUGGUAGUAUGUCUCAUGAGAUCUGAUGAUUUUAUAAAUUGGAGUUCUCCUGCAAAUGCUGUCUUCCCUGCUGCCAUGUAAGACAUGACUUUGCUUCUCCUUUUCCUUCUGCCACGGUUGUGAGGCCUCCCCAGCCAUUUGGAACUGUGAGUCAAUUAAACCUCUUUCCUUUAUGAAUUACCCAGUCUUGGGUAAGUCUUUGUCAGAAGCAUGAGAACAGACUAAUACAACUAUUAAUUUGAUACAUUUCCAAUAUAUUAGAAAGUAAUAUAAACUUCCUAAUUUUAUGCUUAAUCUCUUAUAUUUUCUCAGUUUCCAAGUAUUUCAGAAACAUUUCAACAAGUUCCAGUAGCUAAUCUACACUGAGCUAUGCACUGUCUCUCAGAAACUCUGCUGUUAGUGAAGAAUAUUAUAACGAAAUAUUAAACAAUUAGAAGGUAAAUGCCAAGUAGAAAUUAAGUUUAUUUUAGUCAGUCACUAUCCUAGGGUAAUAUCUGUAAUGUUAUGAGAUAUUUAAUCACAACUAUGUAAAAUCAUAUACAGCUGGAAUUUUAAAAACUAGGUUUUGCCUAUUACUCCUAUUCUCAGUUAGUAAAAGAACUAGUUAACUUAGCUAAUUAUAGAAAAGUUUUCAUACAGCACUUAAAAAUUAAUAAAAUUAAUUCAUGGUGACAUCACCACGAAUUUACUCAGAUGACAUAAGCAUCAGACUUGACCACUAUAAAAACAUAAUUAGAGUCAAUGCAUAACUUCACAACAGAGAUGCGUUCUGAGAGAUGCGUCAUUAGUGAUUUCAUUGAGUGAACAUCGUAGAGGGUACUUACACACAUCUACAUGAUAUAGCCUACUGUAAACCCAGGCUAUACAGUAGAGCAUAUUACACACCUAAGCUAUAUCACUCCGAGACUAAAAACCUGUACAGCAUGUUACUGUGCUGAAUACUGUAGGCAAUUAUAACACAAAGGCAAAUAUUUUUGUAUCUAAACAUAUCUACACUAGAAAAGCUACAGUAAACAUUUGGUAUUACCAAGUUAUGGGAAGACCAUGAUAUAUGUGGCUCAUCAUUGACUGAAAUUCCAUGUGGCACAUGACUAUUGUUAUUUUGCUUACAGAAAAAUGAUUUACAGGCAGGAGAUAUGCUUGAUCAUCUUCAUUUCCUCUGCUCUCCAUCUUUAAUGGAGAAUCUUUAUCUUUUAUGAAGUUGCACAGUUUCCUUCAUCAGUAGAAUCUAAGCAAACGAUAAAAACCACUUCAGACUGCAAUAGAGAAUGCUGUCUGUGAACGAAGUGCUCUUCAGAACUCAGGAAUUUCAAUAUUAAUAAGACAAACGCGUAGGACUAUUUACACUGACUAGAGGAGGUUAGUGAGCAUGUUCUGCUAAACAAAGUGAGACAGAAUAAAUACUUUAAUUCAAUAUAUUGCCCUAAUAAUUCUUCAGUGAUAUUGUUACCAACAUAGGGCACUAAGGACCCGGUAAAUGGUAAGCCUUCUUUUAUGACAUCAUGGAGCACAUUAUGAGGUUACAAUGGAGUUGUAAUCGUUUUAACCUCAUAUUAACACCAUAUACUUAAUCUCUAAAUGAGUUCCUAAUUGACACCUUUGAUGUGAUCCUUAUUUUAGAAAUGUAGGAAACAUUCCAUGCUACAAAUUGAAAUAGUGAUAUACUUCUGAAUUAAAGAAAACUGCUCUUUACAAUAU
ensembl:lncRNA